GGACCUGCGGUGCAUUAGCUAGUUGGUAGGGUAACGGCCUACCAAGGCGAUGAUGCAUAGCCGAGUUGAGAGACUGAUCGGCCACAUUGGGACUGAGACACGGCCCAAACUCCUACGGGAGGCAGCAGUAGGGAAUCUUCCACAAUGGACGCAAGUCUGAUGGAGCAACGCCGCGUGAGUGAAGAAGGGUUUCGGCUCGUAAAGCUCUGUUGUUGGUGAAGAAGGACAGGGGUAGUAACUGACCUUUGUUUGACGGUAAUCAAUUAGAAAGUCACGGCUAACUACGUGCCAGCAGCCGCGGUAAUACGUAGGUGGCAAGCGUUGUCCG
rnacentral:rRNA from 1 species